UAUUUGUGUACGUGUAUAUACUCGAACUGAUAAAGUUUCGCCGAAAGUAAAUUCGCUCGGUAAUACCGUGUAGUAUUAUUAAUAAUAUUAUUUUACGAGCACACCCCUUAUAACAGUGUAAAACCACACACACGACGUGUAGAUACGGUGUUUUUCCACGAAUGUUAAUACCAGGGACUUGAACCUUAACGAAUACUGUAGUUCUGGUUCCGGUUCGGUUCCAAGUAAAAUAAAAAAGCGGUU